rnacentral:rRNA from 1 species
GAUGAACGCUGGCGGCGUGCCUAAUACAUGCAAGUCGAGCGAAUGGAUUAAGAGCUUGCUCUUAUGAAGUUAGCGGCGGACGGGUGAGUAACACGUGGGUAACCUGCCCAUAAGACUGGGAUAACUCCGGGAAACCGGGGCUAAUACCGGAUAACAUUUUGAACCGCAUGGUUCGAAAUUGAAAGGCGGCUUCGGCUGUCACUUAUGGAUGGACCCGCGUCGCAUUAGCUAGUUGGUGAGGUAACGGCUCACCAAGGCCACGAUGCGUAGCCGACGGGGGAGGGGGAUCGGCGACACUGGGACUGGGACACGGCCCAGACUCCUACGGGGGGCAGCAGUAGGGAAUCUUCCGCAAUGGACGAAAGUCUGACGGAGCAACGCCGCGUGAGUGAUGAAGGCUUUCGGGUCGUAAAACUCUGUUGUUAGGGAAGAACAAGUGCUAGUUGAAUAAGCUGGCACCUUGACGGUACCUAACCAGAAAGCCACGGCUAACUACGUGCCAGCCGCCGCAGUAA